rnacentral:rRNA from 1 species
UACGAAGGGUGCAAGCGUUAUUCGGAUUUAUUGGGCGUAAAGGGUUCGUAGGCGGGAGAAUAAGUCAAGUGUGAAAAUUCUGGGCUCAACCUAGAAAGUGCAUUUGAAACUGUUUUUCUUGAGUGUUAGAGAGGGUGGUGGAAUUGCUGGUGUAGGAGUGACAUCCGUAGAGAUCAGCAGGAACAUCGGAGGCGAAGGCGGCCACCUGGCUAAAAACUGACGCUGAGGAACGAAAGCAUGGGGAGCAAACAGG